UAAAGCAUUUCUGUCCCUGGAUAUCAAGAAAAACAGACAUUGGAAUCUGACAUUUCCAGCAGUUGCAAAAACCAAAAGUAUUUCUUAUACCGGACAUUAUUUUCAUAUAUUGGAGCCAAUGAGAGGGUCUGACAACUCAUCGACCCCCAUUAUACUUUGGCAGAAAGACCUUGGACAGUGGUCCUUCCUCACUAUGCCUUGGAAGCAGCUGAGCUCACUGCUGACCUUUAGUGUGACCCUCAGCUCGUAGUCCUGGACAUUGGAAUGUACUAGUCUGCAACACUCGGUCAAGGUUAACUCUUUGCACCAGAAAACCAACAAGUUUGGGGGAGACCAAAGAGCAUCUUUCACUGAGUUGACUGUCUUCCAAGCAUAGUCGAUGUUUGUCUUGGUGUGCGUUCCAGGGAACAGACAAUUGAGCACAGAGUCCUGCAUCACAGAGCUGUUUGGGAUGAGCCCGACAAAACCACUGCAUCUUUCUCCAGACUUCCUUUGCAAAGACACAUUCCAGAAGGAGAUGUGUGACAGUCUGCCUACCCUGCAGCUGAUUUGAGGGCAAUGUGUAGUAGCAGAGACAGUCCAGGUUCUUGAGGACAAUAUGCACUGACCAUUACCUGGUUGACUUGUGGUCAAAGAUGUUCUUGCUGACAAAUGUUUCCAUGAGGGACAGGUGAAGCGGAAUAGCCCAUGUACUUGAAGAAUUCCAUGACAAUGAACCAAACCUAUCCUUUGUAACACUAGGGACAGCUGAGUAUGGUAAUAAGCCAAGGACAAGGAUGGCACCAUAUUGACCUACAGCCAUAAGAAGUCCAAGCAGCAGCGUAUAGACUAAAGAAGUGUACAUAACUGGCUCUGUACUGCAACUUAUCAGUUUAUCUGUUAAAUAAAUACACUUGAGAUUUUCAAGUAAAUCAUACUUGUUCAUCCAAUAUGAGAUUGGUAAUUCUGUGUGUAGGAAAGCAACACAAGAGUUCAAUAGUCUCCAAUAUUC